UGUAAGCGUAUACCAAAGUUGUUGCAGUUAAAACGCUCGUAGUCGGAAUUUGGCAGUUCCGGAUGUGUGCACGUCGUGUGCGCACUUCGCGGGGAUUGCUUUUGUGGUCUUGCGUAGGAUGAGGCACUUUUAUUAGAGAACGUCCUCACGCAACCACUUUUUACUGUGAGAAAAUCAGAGUGCUCAAAGCAGGCAUUUGCCGUGAAUGUAUUAGCAUGGAAUAAUAGAAUAGGACUUGGUUCUAUUUUGUUGGUUUGUUGGGACUGAGUAAUGAUUAAGAGGGACAGUUGGGGGCAUUUGUAUUUCGGUGCUAGAGGUGAAAUUCUUAGAUUACCGAAAGACAAACUGCUGCGAAAGCGUCUGCCAAGGAUGUUUUCAUUGA
rnacentral:rRNA from 1 species